rnacentral:ncRNA from 1 species
GGGUGCAGUCCCGGCACUGCAGGACAACGGAUGGUCGGGCCGCCAUCC